rnacentral:rRNA from 1 species
GACGAACGCUGGCGGCGUGCUUAACACAUGCAAGUCGAACGAAGUGGCGAACGGGUGAGUAACGCGUAAUCAACCUGCCCUUCAGAGGGGGACAACAGUUGGAAACGACUGCUAAUACCGCAUACUGAAGGAGGGGAUUGCGUCUGAUUAGCGAGUUGGCGGGGUAACGGCCCACCAAGGCGAUGAUCAGGAGCCGGUCUGAUGUGAGGAAUGGCCAACGUGGGACUGAGAAACGGCCCAGACUCCUACGGGAGGCAGCAGUGGGGAAUCGUCCGCAAUGGACGAAAGUCUGACGGAGCAACGCCGCGUGAGUGAUGACGGCCUUCGGGUUGUAAAGCUCUGUUAAUCGGGACGCGGUACCGGAAUAGAAAGCCACGGCUAACUACGUGCCAGCAGCCGCGGUAAUUC